GAGACUGGUAGCGUGAAGGAUUUUGGCAUUCAGCCAGUGGAAGAUAAAGGAGCGUGUCGCCUUCCGCUUUGCUCCCUUCCUGGAGAAUCUGGGAAUGGGCCUGAUCAGCAGCUGCAACGCUCACCUCCGGAAUUCCAGUAGCUGCAACGUGAGAGUCUGAUGGUGACCAGGACAAUAACAAAGACCAGUCCUGUGGUUUUGAGAAGUUAGGUAGCUAAAAAAAAAAAAAAAAAAAAAAAAAUCAGACAAAAGUCCCAGUUCCCAUUGAAGAACCUAGCCUUUAAAAACUUGGAGUGGAGAAUUUAGGAAUUCGGAUCCUUGUAUAAGUGUAUUACCUUUGGAUCAGCUUUGAAAUCCUGGACAGGAGGAGCUGUGCUGUGCAUCCUGCAAGCCACGCAGUGGUUGAUUUCUGAACACACCAGAAAGUGCACAAGAACCCUGUACUGUCCCCAGUGCACAGGUGAGCAUCUGUGUGCUCAGCAUAUAAAGUUCUUUGGCUCCUCAGCCUUUCUGUCUGCCUGAUGUCAAGGGCUUUCUGGAUAACUGACCGUUUGGACAUAACUGAUGGUCAGGCCUUAACUGUUGGGCCUCAGUGGGACUGCACCUCUGAUCGCAGAGCCUCUGAUUUGGGCUUCUCCAAGACAAAUGAAAGUCAGUUAUGAGAUCUGGAUAUUAAUCAUUCCAAUCUGGGAAAGCCAAGAAAAAGAAUUCCCAGCUGAAUCUGGUAGGAGAAGCUCUGUGGUCUUGACGCCAAGAAGAAGAAAAGCUCAAAGCCACCAGUUUCCCAAAGGUCCAGCAUUUAACAAUGACUUCAGCGGAGUUGGGGACAUGGGCUAGCGUUUUGCUGAACAAAGCCCUGUUUCUUGCAACCCACCUGGUGGCAUAGGCUUAGCAGAUGAAUAACUUGGUUAUCCAGGCAGGCUGAGGAUUAAGUUAUGAUCCCUUGGGGAGGUAGCAGGGCCUUCUGCGACUAUGCACGAUCUUUCAGACUGCAGGAUUCAUAUCUGGAUGUAUUAUGCUGUGGACAACAGUUCGGUGGGGCGUUUUCCUACUCUGAGUUACUCGUGACCUAGCCAGUCCAUGGGUCUGACUUGGUUAUUGUGCCAGGCCACUACCUGCCUCCCAUUUUCGGGGCAGGAGUGAACUAUGGAAGAGCAUCAUGGCUGUGCAGGAGGCUGUGGUUUGAAAGCUGAGCCCAGAGGGGACCUUUUUCAGCCGCACUCACUAAUGUGAAUGGGUUAGUGCUAGGAGCCAAGGAGCAGGACUGGGUCAACUCUCAUCUGACUGUGCAGCAUCCUAUUGAAUGCCCCUGUUCCUUGGGUUGGGCAGUCACAGAGCUCCGUUGCAGUGAACAUCUAGACUGUCACCACCUUCUCUGCCCCUCCCAAAGGGCAGUCCUUUCCACUCAGUUCCCUUUGGACCUCUUGAAAACAAGAGCUGUCCUUUUGUUUUGGAAGUCAGGAAAUGGCCCCCAGAAACCCUCUGGUUUUAGGGAAUGGGAUAGGGGAGGAUGGGAAGUGUGAGCUGGGUAUCAAAACUACCCUCCACUUGACUCCCUGAUUGAAGUUUAUGAAGUGUAUAGGGGUGGGAGCCCCAAGGUGAGCGGUGCUGCUUUAUUUGAAAUGUUUUCUUACCUCAUUCUGUGCCCCAGUAAGGGGCCCAGCCUUUUCUGGCUUGGCCCCAUGUUCCUCCAGUCCCCUGCUCCAUGCCUAUCUGGUGCAGCUCAUCACCCCGGGUGCUGCCUGCCACUCUACAUUCACGCUGACCAGUUUCAGUUUCUCUCUUGAUGCUCCUACUUCUGAAGCCUGCCCAGUUUCCCUUUCCUUGGCUUCUCUUAAGUUUGUUUUGUUUUCUUGUUUUUGAGAGAGAGAGCAGAAUCUUUCUUAUGGCUCCCUCUAUUGGGAUUAGGAUGGGAAGAGAAAGUAAUUUUUUGUAUAUGAAAAGCAGUGUCAUGCCUAAGCAUUUCUUGUGUAGGACUGCCUUGCUGGUAUGCCUUCCUGCUGUGUCUUGCUUCCUGAGGAGUUACAUCUUCCCACCUCCACUUGGAUACUGCCCCUUAGGACCUAAGCAGAAAAGCAGUAAAGGCUGAGUGACACAGGGACAGAGUAGGUUCUGAUCCAUUUUCUCUAACCCUUGCUGUGCAUGUAUCCUUCCUUAUCCCAGAAGGAACUGUUUGGACUGUAUGGACUGAUUCGGGUUACAUACUCUAGAGGGUUAAGGGAAGCAUAGUAAUAGGGCCUCAAGACUGUUUAUUAUUGCAUUUUCCCUCUAGAGUUGUCCCGCUCAGGGUGAGGGCCUAGCUACAUAUUGGUCUUCAAUCUAAGAGUUGUAAUAACUGUUUAAAAAGUCAAACCUUGGCAAGAACUGAAAUAAUUUUGGGUUAUCUGCCCUUGCCUUUUUUAGAGACAUCUCCUUCAGAGGGGAUGCAGAAGGAAAGGAGGGUCUAAGUGAGACUCUGGCCUACUUAAAUAUAAUAUCUGGGAAACAGGCUGAAGGUAAGGCCAUGGUCCACUCCUCCUUCAGAGAGGGAGCUCAGAUUGUGACAUUACUGUUUCCUUGGUCUUUUCUCCUGGUUAGAGGAGGGAGAAGUGGAAAUAGUUUUGAGUAAUGGUUGGUUCAUAUUACCUCCCUCUUGGUUUGUGUUUUUGUUUUUUUGCUCCCCAUUAUUAGGGCAGUAGCCCCCGGUCCUGGUUGGGUAUGAGGUGGGCUAGGUCCAACAGGUACCCUGAGGGGACAAACUAACUCUUCUUUUUUGGGGAGAGAAUGCUCCCUACCAUAUAGUUAACAGUGGUUAGGAAUUCUCCCUUUCCCUAUCUUUCCUCUUAACAGCAGAAUUCCUGUCCUAAUCUCCUCAAUUAAGUGUAUUGAUCACCCUGUAAUUCUAUUAUGUAUCUGAGUGUGUGUGUGUGUGUAUGGGGGGGAAGGGGUUCUUUACAAAUUUCUGUGGUUUGUGGCUUUUUCUUCCAUACAUUAGUUCACACCACCGCAUGCCCAGGGGCCAUUGCCUGGCAUUAUCGCAUGCUGGGAUCAUCGGGGAAGUGUAGUGAAGCUCACCAUUGUCCUUUGUUUUGGAGAGUCUUAUUUUUGCAUAAGUAGUCCAUCCUAUACAGGUUGCUAACUGUGUAUUCCCCUUGCCCCAUGGCUGCUGGUGUAAAUAAACUGCGUCUCCCCAUUGGUAAACAAUUACAAUAAACAAAAUUUU
rnacentral:lncRNA from 1 species